GAGUUUGAUCGUGGCUCGGAUUGAACGCUGGCGGCAGGCCUAACACAUGCAAGUCGAGCGGAUGACGGGAGCUUGCUCCUUGAUUCAGCGGCGGACGGGUGAGUAAUGCCUAGGAAUCUGCCUGGUAGUGGGGGACAACGUUUCGAAAGGAACGCUAACACCGCAUACGUCCUACGGGAGAAAGCAGGGGACCUUCGGGCCUUGCGCUAUCAGAUGAGCCUAGGUCGGAUUAGCUAGUUGGUGGGGUAAUGGCUCACCAAGGCGACGAUCCGUAACUGGUCUGAGAGGAUGAUCAGUCACACUGGAACUGAGACACGGUCCAGACUCCUACGGGAGGCAGCAGUGGGAAUAUUGGACAAUGGGCGAAAGCCUGAUCCAGCCAUGCCGCGUGUGUGAAGAAGGUCUUCGGAUUGUAAAGCACUUUAAGUUGGGAGAAGGGCAGUAAGUUAAUACCUUGCUGUUUUGACGUUACCGACAGAAUAAGCACCGGCUAACUCUGUGCCAGCAGCCGACCG
rnacentral:rRNA from 1 species